CAGAGAACAGUGGACACACAGUUUAACAUGAUGGACUAUAGGACAGGACUGCUGCUGUUAACUAUCUGCUGGGCAGGUGUUGAUGGUCAGACUCUGACAGAAUCUGAACCAGUGGUUAAAAGGCCUGGAGAAUCUCACAGAUUGACCUGUACAGCCUCUGGAUUCACAUUCAGCAGCUACCAUAUGAACUGGGUCAGACAGAAACCAGGGAAAGGACUGGAAUGGAUCGGACGCAUUGAUAGCGGAACUGGCACAAUAUUUGCCCAAAGUCUCCAAGGCCAGUUUUCCAUCACCAAAGACACCUCCAAAAACCUUGUGUCCUUAGAGGUGAGGAGUCUGAAACAAGAAGACUCUGCAGUUUAUUAUUGUGCACGAGAGCCACAGUGA